GGACAUAGAAUACUGAAUGAAGGAAUUGUACAAUAUAGGACAUUUGACAGUGAAUGGAGGAAUUGUACUAUAGAGGACAUUGUACAGUGGAUGAAGGAAUUGUACAAUAUAGGACAUUUGACAGUGAAUGGAGGAAUUGUACUAUAGAGGACAUUGUACAGUGGAUGAAGGAAUUGUAUAUAGGACAUUUGACAG